UCGAGAAUCUUCGGCAAUGGGGGCAACCCUGACCGAGCGACGCCGCGUGAGCGAUGAAGGCCCUCGGGUUGUAAAGCUCUGUCGAGAGAGAGAAAAGCGGCUUGUCCGUUUGAUCGACCUCUGGAGGAAGCACGGGCUAAGUUCGUGCCAGCAGCCGCGGUAAGACGAACCGUGCGAACGUUGUUCGGAAUCACUGGGCUUAAAGGGCGCGUAGGCGGGCUGUUAAGUCUGGGGUGAAAUCCUCCCGCUCAACGGGAGAAUGGCCUCGGAUACUGAUGGCCUCGAGGACGGUAGGGGCAGGCGGAACUGUGAGUGGAGCGGUGAAAUGCGUUGAUAUUCACAGGAACUCCGGUGGCGAAGGCGGCCUGCUGGACCGUUUCUGACGCUGAGGCGCGAAAGCUAGGGGAGCGAAGAGGAUUAGAUACCCCCGUAGUCC
rnacentral:rRNA from 1 species